UAAUACGGAGGGUGCGAGCGUUGUUCGGAAUUACUGGGCGUAAAGCGGGUGUAGGCGGUUUGUUAAGUCAGAUGUGAAAGCCCACGGCUCAACCGUGGAAGUGCAUCUGAAACUGGCUUACUUGAGUACCGGAGAGGGAAGUGGAAUUCCUGGUGUAGGGGUGAAAUCCGUAGAUAUCAGGAGGAACACCGGUGGCGAAGGCGACUUCCUGGACGGAUACUGACGCUGAGAUCCGAAAGCGCGGGGAGCAAACAGGAUUAGAUACCCUGGUAGUCCACGCAGUAAACGAUGAACACUAGGUGUAGCGGGUAUUGACCCCUGCUGUGCCGCAGUUAACGCAUUAAGUGUUCCGCCUGGGGAGUACGACCGCAAGGUUA
rnacentral:rRNA from 1 species